rnacentral:rRNA from 1 species
GACGUAGGGCGCAAGCGUUGUCCGGAUUUAUUGGGCGUAAAGAGCUCGUAGGCGGCCUGUCGCGUCGGAUGUGAAAGCCCGGGGCUUAACCCCGGGUCUGCAUUCGAUACGGGCAGGCUAGAGUGUGGUAGGGGAGAUCGGAAUUCCUGGUGUAGCGGUGAAAUGCGCAGAUAUCAGGAGGAACACCGGUGGCGAAGGCGGAUCUCUGGGCCAUUACUGACGCUGAGGAGCGAAAGCGUGGGGAGCGAACAGG